GAUGCAAAUUUUGCAACUACUGCUGCUUGUGACAUUCAGCUAUUGCAGGCACUAUCUAGAAGGAUUCACUAUGGAAAAUUUGUUGCUGAAGUUAAAUUUAGAGAUAGUAUUGAUGAAUAUAAACCAUUUAUUCUUGCUCAGGAUAGAGAUGCUUUAAUGAAGUUAUUAACAUUUGAAGCGGUUGAAGAGAUGGUGAAGAAGAGAGUAGCG
rnacentral:misc_RNA from 1 species